UAGGCCGAUAGGAAUGAAGCUGUAGGUGGUUCCAAGGGUUGGGUUGUUCGCCCAUUAAUGCGGUACGUAGCUGGGUUCAGAACGUCGUGAGAUAGUUC
rnacentral:ncRNA from 1 species